rnacentral:rRNA from 1 species
GACAGAGGAUGCAAGCGUUAUCCGGAAUGAUUGGGCGUAAAGCGUCUGUAGGUGGCUUUUUAAGUCUGCCGUCAAAUCCCAGGGCUUAACCCUGGACAGGCGGUGGAAACUACCAAGCUGGAGUACGGUAGGGGCAGAGGGAAUUUCCGGUGGAGCGGUGAAAUGCGUAGAUAUUAGGAAGAACACCAGUGGCGAAGGCGCUCUACUGGGCCAUUACUGACGCUGAUGGACGAAAGCUAGGGGAGCGAAAGGG